GUUUUUGUCUCUGAAAAUUUCAAUCAGCUCCUGAAGAUUGUUAUUUGAUUUCAUGGAUUAGGAUCAUAAUCCACUAAAUUAAUAACUAUUAAUGGUAAUGGGAAAACCGUCAUAUCCCUGAUCCCGACUGAGCUCCCAAGGAACUUUAACAGCAGAAGGCUAUAACCCAGCUGCGCACCCGGACUCUGGUUUGCUCUUCCUUCUCGAAGCUCAACUAACCGCCAGCCACUGUACUUGUUCUAAUAAUAAAUAGUCAUAUGAUCAUCAUCAUCAUCAUAGGAGAAAGAAGUCCGCUUAGGCUCUGAGCAACCAAAAAUGUCCAGAAGGAUGUCUACAACGGUUCCGGCUGGUAUCAGGAGUGGAUCCUGUUGUUACUGGUUCAAAGGAUGUUUGAAAUCGGACUGUUGGAUCUAAACUGCUUAACGCCAGAACAACGGUCAAUAUUUUGUAUUGCUUCCGGUGACGCUGAACAGACGAAAAUUCGACAUUCAUGGAAACAGCGGAACAGCGUGGUCUUGGGGCUCUCAUACAUCAAAAACAAUCAUUUGGAGAGAAUGCCUAGCCCGAGAUCUGGACUAAAUCUCCGAUAUAUUGUCACCUGUCAGCCACGGAAUAUUUUCCUCCAUUUGGAUGAUUGAUCUGGCAUGGUGUGCGCUUGUUCAGCGAAUCCUGAUUAUUGCUGACAUUUUGAUGGCAAGUGCAUUUUGGAAUUCGCCACCCGAUAUGCCGAAUAUACUGUUAAUACCCGGAUUGAUUCCACUCCGACCACCAUGACUCCAGCCACAACGUUGCGGGGAUUUUGUUAAUAUGUAUGUUAUUUAUCGUAUUAUUAACUUCCAUUAUACUUAAGUUAGUUGAUGCCAACAGUUUAUGUAAAUUCAAAUAACGAUG